rnacentral:rRNA from 1 species
UGGGGAAUAUUGCACAAUGGGCGCAAGCCUGAUGCAGCCAUGCCGCGUGUGUGAAGAAGGCCUUCGGGUUGUAAAGCACUUUCAGCGAGGAGGAAGGUGGUGAGCUUAAUACGCUCAUCAAUUGACGUUACUCGCAGAAGAAGCACCGGCUAACUCCGUGCCAGCAGCCGCGGUAAUACGGAGGGUGCAAGCGUUAAUCGGAAUUACUGGGCGUAAAGCGCACGCAGGCGGUUUGUUAAGUCAGAUGUGAAAUCCCCAGGCUCAACCUGGGAACUGCAUUUGAAACUGGCAAGCUAGAGUCUCGUAGAGGGGGGUAGAAUUCCAGGUGUAGCGGUGAAAUGCGUAGAGAUCUGGAGGAAUACCGGUGGCGAAGGCGGCCCCCUGGACGAAGACUGACGCUCAGGUGCGAAAGGCGUGGGGCAGCAAACAGGAUUAGAUACCCUGGUAGUCCAGCGCUGUAAACGAUGUCGAUUUUGGAGGUUGUGCCCUUGAGGCGUGGCUUCC